AACGAACGCUGGCGGCAUGCCUAACACAUGCAAGUCGAACGAGACCUUCGGGUCUAGUGGCGCACGGGUGCGUAACGCGUGGGAACCUGCCCUUAGGUUCGGAAUAACUCCCCGAAAGGGGUGCUAAUACCGGAUAAUGUCUUCGGACCAAAGAUUUAUCGCCUUUGGAUGGGCCCGCGUUGGAUUAGCUAGUUGGUAGGGUAAAAGCAUACCAAGGCGACGAUCCAUAGCUGGUCUGAGAGGAUGAUCAGCCACACUGGGACUGAGACACGGCCCAGACUCCUACGGGAGGCAGCAGUGGGGAAUAGUGGACAACGGGCGAAAGCCUGAUCCAGCAAUGCCGGGUGAGUGAUGAAGGCCGUAGGGUAGUAAAGCUCUUUUACCCGUGAUGAUAAUGACAGUACCGGGAGAAUAAGCUCCGGCUAACUCCGUG
rnacentral:rRNA from 1 species